CAGCUUGCCAGCCAGCGACAAGUCUCUCUAGACCAUGGCCUGCCUUUUCUUUCCCUCCCAGUGUAGCUGAACCACUGGCUACAGUUGUUACUGGGCAUGCAGGCCAGCUCUGCUGGGCAAGUCCUGGCAGCAUCCCGCUAGCCAAACUGAGGAAGUCUUUUCUCAGCACACUACCGCUGGAGCCAGCCCGAUCCCUCUCCGAAUGCUGCCAAAAUGGACCGAUGUCCUCGAUUCCUAACCCUGCUGACCAGAGCACUGGUUAAUGGACCUCUCCUGUAUCUCUCUGCCAUGCCAGCUCACCUGGAAACACACCGGCCGCCUCUUGGAUUGCCCCUUGCUCACUCUUAAUAGCAUCUAGCUGCAAUUAACUGAUCCAGGCAGCGCACGGGGCACAGAGAGGAGCAGUUCCACCUGCAGGAGGUUUGACAAGGGUUCAGCGAGAGCCGGCUGGGAUUCUCCUGAAGAACCAUUGUUCCAUCUUUCUAGAAAUAGCUCUGCUUCUCGCAUCCUGGAGCCGUUCAGCCUGUUUGGCACUGUUUCUGCUGCUUCAGAGACAACAACAGAGAGUGAGAAAAACCUGUCUAGACACCAUUUACCUUCCAUGGACUCCCAUUGCCACAUCAAAGCACCACUUCAAAGAAACCUGCAAACUGGCCAAGUAAUAAUCCCCAGCUCUCCUGUACCUGCUCCAGCUAGAGGCAGUCAGACCCAUCCCAUUGUGCUUCAGAGUUCAUCUUUAAUCCAGGCCCUUCUGACAACAGGAAGAGAGGUAGGAUGAAAAUUCUCAUUACAGGAACAUCAACAGAAGCUACCUGGCCUCAGGCUACUCAAGUGGGGGCUAUGUCCUUUCUGCUCGGCAUCCAGGAACAGGCAGAAAUCUCACCUGCCUCCUAUCAGCGAUCUACAAACCUCCAGCUCCUUUCAAAAGCAGGCAUACAAGGCACUCCUCUCAGCAGUCCCACUUGUCCCACCUGCUCAGAUGCUGGAUCCCUUGCCUUGCCAAAGCCAUGCACGUGAAUGCCGAGCAAGCUUUGCUACAACCCAGAGAUCAAAGAAUAUCUUCCUAUGGCACCCAAGGAAAUGGAGGUCACCGACAGCUACAAGCAGCCUGUCCACCGUGAGGCAGCAAGUCACUAUCAGAGCGGGACAAAGUCACAGGAGCUCGGGUAAAUGCUCAAGAUAAACUGAAACCAAGGGAGCUGGAGAGGUUUUUAGGUGACUUGAGCACCAGUUACUUGAAGUCACUGCUUUGGGGAAGCACCUGGCACUAACAUCAAGCACUGACCCUAUGCAGCCACCACAAGAGCAACAUCUAGCUCAUUAUUUUAAUAAGGGUCCUUUGAAAUACCUUCUGUGUAAGAGACAGCUAAGAAAAUCCAGUCUGGCUUUAUUCUGUCUCCGGCAGAAACAGCCUUUAUUUAGCAAACUGCUGCUAACAGCUCUGUCUCAUUAGUCAGUGUUUAGGGAACCAGGCAGCAAUUGUUCUGAAGUCUGGCAUUGCAGAAAGAGCCUUGAUAAUGAGGUCUACAGAAGACGAUUCCUCCUGACAGGCCCACAAUGACCUAGAAAUCCUACUUAAUUCCCUGUCAGUGAGAAGUGCUGAGUAACAGCGAGGUGCAGAGGCACUGGGGGGCCCGAUUUGAGAGGGAUGCUGCAGCCUCUGUUCACACUUUGGGGUGUGAUGCAAGAGCUCUAGGGUGGAAAAAGCCAGCACCGCUCAGCUAUGCAGCACCUCCCCAGAUAAAGCAGAGGGGAGGCUCGCCAGGCAGAUAGACAGGGGUUUGCUACGGGAAGGUGUGUAGCCUCAUCUGUAAAAGGCUUGCCACCACACAGAGCAUGCAGAGCGCUGAGAGCAGAAAUCUCUGUUUAACGCAACAGUAGAGACAGAAGUAGGCACUUGGAAACAGCCUGGCGCUAGCUAGGGCUCCUCUGAAGCAGCACCUGGAUGCGGUCUUCUCAUAGGCAUUGUCUCCUCUGGAUGAUGCCUGCUUGCAAACUGUGCCAAAACCCUGCCCAAGGCUUUAACUCCGCGACUCAAAUAGCUCAACUUUUUACCUAUGUUCCUAGGCCUAGAGUGCCUUACCAACUUCAUCUGUGCAGCUACCGCUGCUGCCAACAGAGACUGUGGUACGUACUACCGCGGACGCAGCAUCUCCCGCCACGGACUAGAGUUGUGCGGGUGCUGCCUCCUUUCACGGGGAUGUGGGAUGAGCAGCGGCUCUCCGCCGCACCAGGCAGCGCGCGUGCCUCGGAGGUGUUGUUGAGCUUUUUUGACGCAUUCUGCCCCAACCGCUUUUCCCCGUCUCCUUGGAGGAAAAUGCAGCAGGCUGGCACAGGCUCGGGCCGCAGACACGGUGCUUUCAAGUGGUUUGUUUUCGACAAGCGGCGUGUGUACCAUGGUUAGGAACCUCUGGGCUGGAUGGCCCAGAGCCAGCUAGGCCAGAAGAUGAGGUACUCAGCUGGAAUGCGGGCUGGAUACGGCUGACCUUGAAGACCACCCCCAGUAAAGACCCUUACAGGCAUGUGCUUGCCACCUGUUUCAGCCAGCAGACGAGGGACUAAAGCAGGAAUUCUGGAACUGAAUGCACAGUCUGUUACAGAGUGGUCUGAAGACUCCCACCCACGUGAAGCUGUCGCUGAUGCGUGCUCUCUUACAGACCCUUGCAGAGGAAUGCAUCUUUGCCCAUCACGUGCAAGACUGCUACUCCCAUACUGCAAAUGCAGCCCUGUUUAAAGUACAGCUCAAAUCCGCAAAGGACCGCUGUAAAAAAAGAAACGUGGAAAUGAAAUCACCAGCCGAAACAGUGUCUAGAGGCAGCUCAAGCCAAGUCCCUCGAAUGUCAGCACCAGAAGGAGGGUUCUGAAAUGGAGAACCUCGCUCACUCUGCACCGGCUCUGCUGGCACAGACAGAGGAUCUGCCUCAGAGACAUGAGGAAAAGACAUAUGCUGAGAAAGGAAGGACCAGCUUUAUUUUACCAGCCUGUGUUCCCACCAGAGAUGUGCUUUAAAGACUGCCUUGCAAAGUAGGAAUUAAAUCCAAAGGUGCCUAUGCAUCUUCCUUGCUGUCAUCCCCUUAUCAGUUAUCUCCAGCCUGCUCUGAGCCAGAAGAUGAAAGGAUCGUAACACCACUUAUCUUCCCACUUAAGAACAUGCUUAACAGCUUGCUGUUAAAGAGGAGGACACUCGAGCCUCGGGAAGCAGCUGUAAAUUCUGCAAAUGGGUUCCCUCGCAUUUCUUUAAAGGAGCUACUGCUUCUCAAUGAGGGACACAGAUAGGAAAAGGAAACCAGAGAGGGAGGAAAAGAGGGAAGGAAGCCUUUGUAGCAAAGAAAGACUUUGCCUCACAUCCAUGAAGCUGAGUGACAGAUGUGAGACGUACGGCAUGUGUGUCUCAGAAGUGACCGAGGAUAAGCCAGGAAUUGAAAAGCUCUCGGGAAAUAUUUAAGCAGCCAGAAUGAUGACAUGUUUGUCAGUAGACCACAAGAAGCUCCAAAAACACGCUCGCCUCGAGACUGUGCAGUGUUACAGCCAAGAAGGUUAGGGAUCCCCUUACAUGCUGCAGGCAGAACUGCUGCAUGCAACCCAGCUCCGGCUCUAACAGUUGAGGCCAGGUCACUGCACGUCCUCUGGGUCUCUCCCACAGAGCCUGCUGCCUCGUCUCUGAAUUUGACCCUCGUCUCCCCUCUUUGUAGAGCUACUCGUUGUCACGGUGAACCUGGGUCCAGCUUGCCUUUGUCAUUUACCAGCUGAGUCAAACUGUCAGAACAGCCAAACAGGAUCUGUUCCAAAUAUUUGCAGAAAGAGGAGGAUCAAGGAGCCUGCAGCAGAACACCAGGAGCCUCCCCGGGCAAGGAGAACAAUCACUAUUGUUGACCAACAGCGGGCUGCCGGUGGGCGACGAGCACGCCUUGGCGCAAUGUCGGGAAAAAGCCCCCGAGUCCUCCCAUGCUCACAGAGCACCGCAAGUGAACUGGGAUCUCUGGCAAAGCCCCAGCGAUCCAGCACUGCAGACUUAUCAGCCCUGCUCGCAGCUCAGCUGUUGACUUGGAGAACUCAAGGCGCAGUUGGCAACUGGGGGGGGGGGGGGGGGGACUGGAGUGCCUUAGAAGCUGCUGCCAGCCCAAAUGUAGGCUUCAAAGGGCUUAUCCUGCCCUGUUGUGUGGGAGAGCAUGUAGUGCCUGUGGAUGAGGACAGCUGUGUGUCGGCCAGGCCCACCAGAGGAUUUCUGAUGGAAGAAGAGAGAAGUUAGUACCUGGUUUAACCUCCCCUCCAGCACGCACAAGGCAGCUUUGGCAAGCAGAGCUCCACGCUGCCCUGUUAUUUAUGGGAUGUUGAAAACUGGCCAAAACGAAGGGAAAACACCAGAUACGUAAGGAUGCUUACCAACUCAAAUAGCCAGUUCUGCUUGACCCAUGAGACAGACCCAGGAAGCGAUUACAAGGCACUCUGCCUUUCAUCUCCAGAUCGCCAGUUCAAAGGCAACUCCAUCAGCACUAACCAAGCUGUAGCCAUUAUUGGCUAUUUGCUCAUGCACAAGAAACGAGAUAAGCCGUUGCCUCCUUGCUCCCUGAGAAAUCAGACCAGCCCCAUCGAUGUACACUACACGCAAUCUCAGCGGAGUAGCUAAGACCAAAGAGGGAAACAAACCAGCACCGCCUCUGCUGUAGGAGCUCCUAGAUCAACAAGGAGAUCCAUGAUGAUUGAAGCUAACUUGUUUCAUGGCACAUGUGUCCAGUCCUGUCAGCAAAGCACAGAGCGUUCACGCUAAUAGGGAGCUGCGUAUUACUCCUUCCACCUUGGUUGUCGGUAUCUAAACACCUCAACAAAACCAACCCACUCUUCCAAGGACGGGGGAGUCCCACUGGCCGGGGAAGUCAGGGCUGGUCCAGAGGUACAAGUCACUGUUGUUCAGAGAGCGGGGACUUCCCCUUCUAAGGUAUGUAACUGAUGCACAGGACCUGGCUACUACAGAAGGGAUGUUUUCCAGGCUCUAAAAAUAACUAACCCCAAACAACAUGGUGGGUAUAAAGAAAUAUUUAUCUUUGGGCUUUCGCAGAGAUCGAAGCAGAAGAAAAAGAUUAAAGCAAAGAUUUAAGUGGGUAUUAAAAAUAGCGGUUGAUAAGAUCCUUUGAGGGGAUAAAAGCUAUUUUACAGAAGCAGCAAGAACUGCAGGACUUCGCAACACCUUCCCUGCCGUUAAGUGUGUAAGCUCCCGGAAAUCAUUCAAGAGAGUGUUAGCAGCCAGAGCGCCUCAGGAGGAAGUCCAUUAGCAGGCAGCAAUCUCCUUAAUGGACCCUCGGGGUAUGUGGUAGACGCUGCCUUGCCUUUGGACGCUCGGUUCUUUCCACUGCUGUGAUUCAAGGGCUGCUCACGCAGCCAUUAUCAUCCAAUACUCUAAGGAAUGCUCCUCAUCUUUAUGGCAGCCCGGUAGCGCGAUGAAUUAGUCUUUUGGGUAGCUUUCAUUGAGUGAGGACACAAAUUGGUAUACUGAGUUUUUUGUUUCUUUCUGAGAGCCCCUAGCGAAGACAGACGCUGAUCUGUGAACAGAAGCCAUACAUGCUACUGUACCGCAGGUAAAAGCGGUAACAUCUAUCAAGGCCUUUGUUUUCCAAGGAUAACACCCUAGCAAAACAAAAAUACCGUCUCCAUGGCUGAUCUUGCCCUAAAAGAUCAAGCAGAGCCUUGUACACUGACGUGCAGACAAAAUCAUUAAGUCCUCAGCUGUGUAACUGACGCCACUCAAGCAGGUCUGAGAGAGCACGCAGCCGCCCCGGAGAGAUUCGAAGUGGCAGGAACCUUUCCACUGGGAAUGAAAAGCAGGACUGCUAGGCAGAGCACUCACUACUGGCUCUGUUAAAAGUUGCCUGGUUUGGAACACGCACCAAAAGCGAUUUCCUUCAAUACCCAAUGCAGCAGAGAAAAAGCUUUGACAAGACACUUAAGAACUGCAGAGGAACACCCUCUCUAGACCUUGCUUCUUGCAUAUUAGUGAUUUUUCUAAGAAAUUGGAAAGCCUGGCUUAGGAUGCUGCUCUAAUAAGAACUGGGCACCAGCUCAAUUAUGCAGCUGUCUUGGUUUUGCACUUCCAAGCUGUGUGUUAAGACAGCUGAACUUCUGCACAGGAGUCACACAAAGCUUUCUUACAGUAUGAAAUGCAGCAAGGCAAUCAAAGUUAGCGACUGCUGAGGAAGAAGUGGUAACAGAACCUCAGCUGGCCAUUCCUGUGCAGGAAACAUCUUUAAUAUACACCUCCCUCAACAUUUAUCCCCUGAGGAAGCCUGCUUGACCUCCGCUUACCUAAAUGAGAAGCAGAAGUUUGUGAGGAGUUGGUUGUCCUUAAGACCAAAGUCGACGGAGUGCCUUGCUGUCCUGUUCCCCACAGAUGUACUCUUUCGCUGAAAAGGACUCUUGAGGACUCAGGAUCCUGUUGGUCUGUGGAAAUCUUUCCCCUUGCUAACUCCCUCCCACCACUUCAGGCCUGCUCUGUAAGGAGUUCACGAACCUUCUCCGGAUCAUCGGGGCUUGAUGCAAUCAACUGUGAAGCAUUAGCUCUAAAUAUACAACUGGGAGGCCAGUUCUGCUUCAAACACACAAAGGCUCAUCGCAAAGGAUGCUAAAGCAGUGAGCGCAAUUUGCAAGAGAAACUUAAAUAAUAAUCCAAGUCAGCUGCAAGGAAAGCAGGAGCAAGUGGGGGCUAAGCAAUGUUUUACCCUUUGGAGAUGGCUAAAGUUAGGGGCAAACUGGCAGGAGCCUCAGAAAGCCGACCCACCCACAGCCGUUAUGUGGAGCAGCUUUUGUCCUUAUUUGUGAAGCUAAAUGCAGAAGCUCAUUCCGCUUUAUUUACUUGUUUAGGUGAUUUUUGGCAGCUCACCCUAUGUUCCUGGUGCAAAUCCUCAGUGCGUGGACAGAUAAUUGAAAAACAGCUGCAGCGGGCCGAGAGACCCAGAAUUCAACUUGUACAAGGAAAACAAACAGGAAAUACUUGAGAGUUUUGGGAAGGUCUCUCCCAAAAAGGUCUUGGGACAGCUCUGCCCUCAGUCCAGCAUGUGAAGUCCUCAAAAUCCAAAUGCCCAUUUCCACGGGGAAGCUUGCAACAGAGACCUCAAGGCCAGAUUCAACGGGACACUUAGGCACUGCUCCCAUAACAGAGGAAGGAAAUGGGGUACCUCUCUGCCUUGCAGCCCAACUGUAAGGAAAAGUUGUGUUAAGUAAGUCUGUCAUUUUUCUCAUUCAAAGGGAGCAUCCGAAUCCAGGGUUAGCACCUGGAAGACUCUGUGAUGCUCCAGGAUCAGGCCCUCCCAAUUUCUCUUGCUGAAACUGUUUCUGCUACAAACCACAGUAAAGCAAGUGAACAACAGACCCUGGAGUGCGUGACAACCAUCUCCUCGUUGUGGAUGAGCAUCAGAGUCGUCUUCUCGCCCCUCCGCUCACCUUUUUGGUAAAUAGUGCCCAAAUCUCACCUUAUUUGAGGCCCGAGAGGCUCUGCAAGUUAUUUGGAGUCAUUGGAGAUUUGUUUUGUCCUUGGAUAAACUGUCUGAAAUAUUUCAAUACACUUCAGUCUUGAGUUGA